rnacentral:rRNA from 1 species
AACGAACGCUGGCGGCAUGCCUAACACAUGCAAGUCGAACGAGACCUUCGGGUCUAGUUGCGCACGGGUGCGUAACGCGUUGGAACCUGCCCUUAGGUUCGGAAUAACUCCCCGAAAGGGGUUCUAAUACCGGAUAAUGUCUUCGGACCAAAGAUUUAUCGCCUUUGGAUGGGCCCGCGUUGGAUUAGCUAGUUGGUAGGGUAAAAGCCUACCAAGGCGACGAUCCAUAGCUGGUCUGAGAGGAUGAUCAGCCACACUGGGACUGAGACACGGCCCAGACUCCUACGGGAGGCAGCCGUGGGGAAUAUUGGACAAUGGGCGAAAGCCUGAUCCAGCAAUGCCGCGUGAGUGAUGAAGGCCUUAGGGUUGUAAAGCUCUUUUAACCGGGAGGAUAAUGACAGUACCGGGAGAAUAAGCUCCGGCUAACUCCGUG